UACGUGAAACCGUUCAGGGGUAAACCUGUGAAAUCCAAAAGGUCGAAAGAGGAGAUUCAUUCGUGUAUCGAUCGCCGAAGUCGUACGGGGUAAUUGUGCGACAAACAUCGAUUUAUCGUAGUUUGCGCCACCUGUACGAAUUUAUCGGUAUCGAACGCGUGCACUUCUCCUCUAGUAGAACGUCGCGAUCCGUUGAGUGUCGGUCUACGGACCGAAGCGUAGCCCGAAAACGACGGUUUACCGUUGUUUUCGGACGCUCGUUAUCCGACCGACUCGCUCGACGGUAUGCCAAAGAUACUAGGUCGCAAAUUUAAUUUGCGUUCGAUUUUCGACAAGCUCGUAUAACGUAUCGAUGAUCGGACUUAUGCGCCGGUCGCGACGUUGUGCGGCUGUUAGUCGUAAUAUUCUCGAACAGACCUAGUCGAAAUAUCGAUCGGCGACGCUAUAGCUUUGGAUAAUUACAGGACCCGUCUUGAAACACGGACCAAGGAGUCUAGCAUGUGCGCGAGUCAUUGGGAUUUAUUACUAAACCUAAAGGCGAAAUGAAAGUAAAAAUUCGUUUUAAGCGAAUUUAGGGAAGAUAAAUGGAAACGUUUUGCGACGUUCCGUUUCGCAUUCCCGGGGCGUUUCGUUCUCAUUGCGAGAUGAGGCGCACCAAUAGCGUACACGCUGGGACCCGAAAGAUGGUGAACUAUGCCUGGUCAGGACGAAGUCAGGGGAAACCCUGAUGGAGGUCCGUAGCGAUUCUGACGUGCAAAUCGAUCGUCGGAACUGGGUAUAGGGGCGAAAGACUAAUCGAACCUC
rnacentral:rRNA from 1 species